rnacentral:rRNA from 1 species
UACGUAGGGUGCAAGCGUUGUCCGGAAUUAUUGGGCGUAAAGAGCUCGUAGGCGGUUUGUCGCGUCUGCUGUGAAAUCCCGAGGCUCAACCUCGGUCUGCAGUGGGUACGGGCAGACUAGAGUGUGGUAGGGGAGAUUGGAAUUCCUGGUGUAGCGGUGGAAUGCGCAGAUAUCAGGAGGAACACCGAUGGCGAAGGCAGAUCUCUGGGCCAUUACUGACGCUGAGGAGCGAAAGCAUGGGAGCGAACAGG